UAUUUAAAAAAAUAAAUAAAAAUAAAAUAAAAUAUCUAUAAUUAAAUUAAAAUUUAGAAUAAUUUGAUAGAGGUCCAGAGUUUGAAUUUUACUAAGCAAAAGUUUAGUUUUAUUUGAUUUUUAACUAUGGGAAAAAUUACCAAAGUUGACCCGGGCUUUUGUGCAAUAAUAAAAAAUGUUGGGCCAUUUCUUGUAAUUUUCCCCAAACUUUUAAAUCAGCUUUUAUAAGAUGAAAAACCAGACCAGAACGCAGAAAAGAAAACAAGGAAAGAAAGGAAACACGUGAGAGAGAGAGAGAGAGGAAGAAGGAAGGAGAAAGAGAGGGAGUUAGGCUCGGAUCUAGGAGUCUUUGUGACCGUUGCGAGCUCGGCUACACGAUAGAAAAUUGUUGGUGGAACUUAUUGAGAAGUAAGGAACAAGCCGAGCCCUAUUUUGUACAAGGGGAACCCUUUUAGUACCAAAGGGUUGAGGUCCAGGCGAAGGAUCCAGUGGUGGACGGGGAAAAGAGCAAAGCUAGGGGUUUGCUUGUGAUUUGUAAAGAACUGCAACCCCUUUCUUUUGAGCAAAUAUAUUGUAAUGUAUUUAAGAUUAGGGUGCCAGUAGGAUAUGAUUAUGUGUGUGUGUGUGUGAAUAUGUGUGGAUUGUGUG